GACGAACGCUGGCGGCGUGCCUAAUACAUGCAAGUCGAGCGGACUGACUGGGAGCUUGCUCUUGUUCGGUCAGCGGCGGACGGGUGAGUAACACGUGGGCAACCUGCCCGCAAGACCGGGAUAACUCCGGGAAACCGGAGCUAAUACCGGAUAACACCGAAGACCGCAUGGUCUUUGGUUGAAAGGCGGCGCAAGCUGCCACUUGCGGAUGGGCCCGCGGCGCAUUAGCUAGUUGGUGAGGUAACGGCUCACCAAGGCGACGAUGCGUAGCCGGCCUGAGAGGGUGACCGGCCACACUGGGACUGAGACACGGCCCAGACUCCUACGGGAGGCAGCAGUAGGGAAUCUUCCGCAAUGGGCGAAAGCCUGACGGAGCGACGCCGCGUGAGCGAAGAAGGCCUUCGGGUCGUAAAGCUCUGUUGUGAGGGACGAAGGAGCGCCGUUUGAAGAAGGCGGCGCGGUGACGGUACCUCACGAGGAAGCCCCGGCUAACUACGUG
rnacentral:rRNA from 1 species